rnacentral:rRNA from 1 species
AACGAACGCUGGCGGCAUGCCUAACACAUGCAAGUCGAACGAGACCUUCGGGUCUAGUGGCGCACGGGUGCGUAACGCGUGGGAACCUGCCCUUAGGUUCGGAAUAACUCCCCGAAAGGGGUGCUAAUACCGGAUAAUGUCUUCGGACCAAAGAUUUAUCGCCUUUGGAUGGGCCCGCGUUGGAUUAGCUAGUUGGUAGGGUAAAAGCCUACCAAGGCGACGAUCCAUAGCUGGUCUGAGAGGAUGACCAGCCACACUGGGACUGAGACACGGCCCAGACUCCUACGGGAGGCAGCAGUGGGGAAUAUUGGACAAUGGGCGAAAGCCUGAUCCAGCAAUGCCGCGUGAGUGAUGAAGGCCUUAGGGUUGUAAAGCUCUUUUACCCGGGAUGAUAAUGACAGUACCGGGAGAAUAAGCACCGGCUAACUCCGUG